ACGGGUGAGUAACGCGUAAGGAACUUGCCCUGCAGACAGGGAUAACAGACGGAAACGACUGAUAACACCUGGUAUUGUCAGGCUGGCGCAUGCCGGCCUGAUGAAAGGAUACGCUGCAGGAGAGCCUUGCGUCCUAUUAGCUAGUUGGUGGGGUAACGGCCCACCAAGGCGAUGAUAGGUAGCCGGCCUGAGAGGGUGAACGGCCACAAGGGGACUGAGAUACGGCCCUUACUCCUACGGGAGGCAGCAGUGGGGAAUAUUGGACAAUGGGGGCAACCCUGAUCCAGCAAUUCUGUGUGCACGAAGAAGGUUUUCGGAUUGUAAAGUGCUUUCAGCAGGGAAGAAGAAAGUGACGGUACCUGCAGAAGAAGCGACGGCUAAAUACGUGCCAGCAGCCGCGGUAAUACGUAUGUCGCAAGCGUUAUCCGGAAUUAUUGGGCAUAAAGGGCAUCUAGGCGGCCCUGUAAGUCUAGGGUGAAAACCUGCGGCUCAACCGCAGGCCUGCCCCGGAAACUACAGGGCUAGAGUAUCGGAGAGGUGGACGGAACUGCACGAGUAGAGGUGAAAUUCGUAGAUAUGUGCAGGAAUGCCGAUGAUGAAGAUAGUUCACUGGACGGUAACUGACGCUGAAGUGCGAAAGCUAGGGGAGCAAACAGGAUUAGAUACUCU
rnacentral:rRNA from 1 species